rnacentral:rRNA from 1 species
AUUGAACGCUGGCGGCAUGCCUUACACAUGCAAGUCGAACGGUAGCGGGCCUUCGGGUGCCGACGAGUGGCGAACGGGUGAGUAAUGCAUCGGAACGUGCCCAGUAGUGGGGGAUAGCCCGGCGAAAGCCGGAUUAAUACCGCAUACGACCUACGGGUGAAAGCGGGGGACCGUAAGGCCUCGCGCUAUUGGAGCGGCCGAUGUCAGAUUAGGUUGUUGGUGGGGUAAAAGCCUACCAAGCCGACGAUCUGUAGCUGGUCUGAGAGGACGACCAGCCACACUGGGACUGAGACACGGCCCAGACUCCUACGGGAGGCAGCAGUGGGGAAUUUUGGACAAUGGGGGCAACCCUGAUCCAGCCAUGCCGCGUGCGGGAAGAAGGCCUUCGGGUUGUAAACCGCUUUUGUCAGGGAAGAAACGCGCUGAGCUAAUAUCUCGGCGUAAUGACGGUACCUGAAGAAUAAGCACCGGCUAACUACGUGCCAGCAGCCGCCGUAAGAC